rnacentral:tRNA from 1 species
GGAAAGGUGGUCGAGAGGCUUAUGACACCUGUUUGCUAAACAGGAGAACGUGCUAAUACCACGUUCCAGGGGUUCGAAUCCCCUCCUUUCCGCCA